UGCAUGAAGCCGGAAUCGCUAGUAAUCGCGGAUCAGAAUGCCGCGGUGAAUACGUUCCCGGGUCUUGUACACACCGCCCGUCACACCAUGGGAGUCGGGAAUGCCCGAAGUCAGUGGCCCAACCGGAAGGGGGGAGCUGCCGAAGGCAGGCCCGGUGACUGGGGUGAAGUCGUAACAAGGUAAC
rnacentral:rRNA from 1 species